rnacentral:SRP_RNA from 1 species
GCCAUGCGUGGUGGCAUACACCUGUAGUCCCAGUUACUCAGGAGGCUGAGGUGGGAAGGUUGUUUAACACUAGGAGGCAGAGAUUGCAGUGAGCAGAGAUCAUGCCACUGCACUCCAGCCUGGNNNNNNNNNNUCACCCAGGCUGGAGUGCAGUGGCAUGAUCUCUGCUCACUGCAAUCUCUGCCUCCUAGUGUUAAACAACCUUCCCACCUCAG